rnacentral:rRNA from 1 species
GAUGAACGCUGGCGGCGUGCCUAAUGCAUGCAAGUCGAGCGAACAGACGAGGAGCUUGCUCCUCUGACGUUAGCGGCGGACGGGUGAGUAACACGUGGAUAACCUACCUAUAAGACUGGGAUAACUUCGGGAAACCGGAGCUAAUACCGGAUAAUAUAUUGGACCGCAUGGUUCAAUAGUGAAAGACGGUUUUGCUGUCACUUAUAGAUGGAUCCGCGCCGCAUUAGCUAGUUGGUAAGGUAACGGCUUACCAAGGCGACGAUGCGUAGCCGACCUGAGAGGGUGAUCGGCCACACUGGAACUGAGACACGGUCCAGACUCCUACGGGAGGCAGCAGUAGGGAAUCUUCCGCAAUGGGCGAAAGCCUGACGGAGCAACGCCGCGUGAGUGAUGAAGGUCUUCGGAUCGUAAAACUCUGUUAUUAGGGAAGAACAAAUGUGUAAGUAACUAUGCACGUCUUGACGGUACCUAAUCAGAAAGCCACGGCUAACUACGUG